UUGAGAUUCUCACUGCAGAGCUCUUUAUUUCCAUCCCAGAUUGACUACUCAGAUAAGAGAGAGCCGUCUCUCAGGGAAAUAUGGAAAAGCAAUACUCCACAAACCUCAACGGCAAGAAGAGUUCCUCCAAAGGUGAGAUCUUGAUGAAAGUGAGCAAUGGAUAGUUAACUCUCCCAAAGGAUACAAAAGGCAUUUAUAAAAUGGAUGACAAACAUUGUAAGGAAUAUACUUUCCUCCAAAUGAAUAUAAAUUCUAUGAAAAUCUCCAAAGACCUUUGAAAGGAAAUGCUCCGCCCCUUUCCUCUACCAGCAAUAUCUGUUGAAGCAGUAUGAAGGGGAGAGGUGAACACUGGAUUGUUUUAGCUCUUGUCAUUAAAGAAAGCGUGUACAUUAAGGCAGCACAGAGAAGGUAUUGAUUUGUUGUCUGAGUAUGGAUGCACUCCAUUACUAGCCAUCUGUGAGGCGAUCAAUACAGCAACACAGAAAGGACAGAGGGUUAGAAGUCUAACCUCCUGGCAAGCUACGCCUGCUACAAUGCUGACUUCACCUCGUCAGACUCUGAUGUCACCUCUCCAGAUGCUGCCGUCCUCACCUACAAGAUAAGGAAGACCAACAACAUAAUCUCAAAUGUUCCAUGAAGUUCUAAAGUGGCAAGGUCCUGUUUUAGGCAUGUGAAAUUAGACGGCUAAACAUUGUGCUUUCUAAAAUCCUCCCUUGUCCUAACAUUUCAAAGCUUCAUAAACAUAUUUUCUGAGUCAUUUCUCUCUUGGGCUAAACAUAUGGUCCUUGGUUUUCCAAGAGGUCCUGUGCAGUAAACAUAAGCCCUGUGGGUUGCACUGACUUGGGAGAGCAUUUCGGUCAGCAACGGCCUUGCGCUUGCUAGGCAAGCACUCUACCACUGAGCUAAAUCCCUAACCCCAACGUUCACUUUGUAACUACAAUGGAGAGUGUGGGUCCUUGGAGAAGCUUGCUUGGGUAACAGGAGGCUUUGCUCCAUAAAGCGAGGUCUGGUGGAGAGAAGCAUCAGUGGAACAGGGGGAACCUUCUCCUUUGAUCGUUUUUUUUAUUUUCUUGGUGACCCCAGAAAGCCAAGUCAAGAAUUCAGCCAAGUGGAAAUCAUCCUGACUCCUGCAAUACAGACUCAGGCAAACCCAGGCUAAAUUGUUUUUUCCACUCCAACAGACUCAACUCUUAUAAGGGGCCUUCAGAUGAAGAAGUUGAACUCUUCGCUCCUUCUGCACUGUGCCUUCCUGAACACUGCCAUGCUUCCAUCUUGAUGGUAAUGGACUGAACUUCUAUGUACCUGUAAGCCAGCCCCAAUUAAAUGUUGUCCUUCUCCAAGGCAGGCCUGAGGUCAAGGACUC
rnacentral:lncRNA from 1 species